ACUCUCUGCUGGGGUGCUCAAGGCACAGCUGUUAGCCAUCAGCCUCUCCUGGAACUCUUUCUGCAGGAUCACCUCACUCUUGGCAUGUUCACGGUGUCCCCCUGCUCCGGCUCCGUCGCUGCGUGGGACCAGCAGGACAUCACCGUGGAUUGCCUGGCAAGGGAGGAGGGGACAUGUGAGGAGCAGCUCUACAUUGACAUCACGGGCAGAGACCCCAAGGACAAUCCCCUGGGCGUUCCCUUCACCCUGAUUGCUGAGUCCUGCCUCCCAGCAAUUGUUCAGGAUGUCACGCUAGCCUUCGAGGAGCACCCGAUCUUCAGCAGCACCAACCUCAGCUGCAAGCUGUGGUCAAAGAAAGGUGUGGGCUUCUUUGUCAGAGAUGAGAACAAAUUCAUCUUCACCAAGGUUAUGGUUGGGCAAGAGGCUGAAGCUCAUGUCAGUAUCUACAAUGCAAGUGGUCUGCCGUGUGAUGCGUUCAUCUCCAUCAAACCCCGGCCUGGAAGGGUACAAAGCCCUAUCAACAACAUCUUCAAGGUGUUUCCAGCCAAAAUGUCCAUUCCCAGAUCAUCCAAUGGCAUUGCUACAGUGACCUUCACCCCACCAGACGAGCAGAGCUACAACUGCAUUUUCAAGGCUUUCCUUGUCAUGCCAAAAAGGUAACUGACCUGUGAAAUAUUGGAGGAGGCCUCACUGAUAGCUGCCUCUCCACUGGGAAGGCACAG
rnacentral:lncRNA from 12 species